rnacentral:rRNA from 1 species
CAAUAGCGUAUAUUAAAGUUGUUGCGGUUAAAAAGCUCGUAGUUGGAUUUCUGCUGAGAACGACCGGUCCGCCCUCUGGGUGUGUAUCUGGCUCUUUCUUGGCAUCUUCUUGGUGAACGUUGCUGCACUUGACUGUGUGGAGCGCUACCCAGGACUUUUACUUUGAGGAAAUUAGAGUGUUUCAAGCAGGCAUACGCCUUGAAUACAUUAGCAUGGAAUAAUAAGAUAGGACCUCGGUUCUAUUUUGUUGGUUUCUAGAGCUGAGGUAAUGAUUAAUAGGGAUAGUUGGGGGCAUUAGUAUUUAAUUGUCAGAGGUGAAAUUCUUGGAUUUAUUAAAGACUAACAUCUGCGAAAGCAUUUGCCAAGGAUGUUUUCAUUAA